UCUUGUAAUCUGGACCGUCCAUCUUUGAAACCCUAUUAUUUGGGUCUUCUUCAUCCCAGCGAUUAGAAUUUCUGCUAUGUGUCCCGAAGGAGGUCUGAGCUCGUGGCGGCAGCGGCGAUCCCAGGGCGUUCGACGGUCGCUGUGAUGUCCUCGCCAGAGCAGUGAGCGUCACGCUCUCUCCUAUCUUCACGUACUCCGUCGUGGCCAGCCGCUGGUUCUCUUCUUGCACCGCUAGCUGAUAGAUCCGGCCAAGCGGAGGUACGGGAUCCAUGGCAAGGAUUUGGGAACGAAAUGGUGAGUAACUUUCAUUUAGAAUCAACAAAAAACGGGUUACCUUCUCUCUUUCUUGAAUCUUUCUGUACUGUUCUAGUGUCGAUUCGGGUCCUUGAAGUUCCUCCUCAGCCGCCUCGAGCUCGUUCCACAGAGCCGAGAGUCGAUUGAAGCAAGCGGUAACCGAGAGGUUCCCUUGCUUCAACUCUGAUAUGGCCUGCGUGAGCGAGAAAUGCUUCGCCCGAUCCAUUUUUCCAUACAUUUCCCGAAUGCUAUUCCACAUUUUCUUUGAGUCUUCGGUCGGUGGGAGGCCGGCGGCGACGUCGGGGGCUAUGCAGUUCCCAAUCCAAGUGCGAACAAGUUGGUUGCAUUUGCGCCAAUAUCGCUGUAUCCGAUCGUCGGUCGGGAAAGGCACGGUUCCGUCGAUGAAUCCGUCCUUGUCCUUGGUCACAAGGGCUCGCCGGAGAUCCCGAGCCCAUGUAUUAUAGUUAUCGGGACCGGUGAGUUGCAAGUUAAUAAGCCGGAGCUCUGGUCCGUCGGCCGGCGAUGUGUAGAGUGCGUCGCCGGGUUCUGGACGGCCGUUGGCGCCCGGAAUGGCGUACGGGUAGAAACCGGGUUGUAGUCCUGGGUAGGGAUUCAUCCCUUGACCCGGUAAAGUCUGAUCGGAUCCAGUUGGCUGGGCUUCUUGGGUGACUCCAAGUCCAGUAUUCGCAUUUCCUACGAAUGAGCUGUGUUGGCCCCAUUGACCUUGCACUGGUAUCCAUUGUAUUGGCGGCCACUGGACAUGACUGGAAGGCUCGAUUGAAGUUGGUGCUGGAGUCGAGGGAUGUUGUAUCGGGUCAUCUUGGUCUGAUUUUUUAUUCUGAGGUGAAUUGUUGGACGAUUCCUCCAUCACAGGUAGGGCCGUUUGUUGGUUUUCAGUGGUAGGUGGUUUUUUUAUUCUGACUUUUUGGCAUGUAUGCAGGUAAUCAGAAUCAAGAAUCAAAUCGGAUCUUUCUCCAA